rnacentral:rRNA from 1 species
CAGUCGAACGGUAGCAGGAUGUGCUUGCACAUCGCUGACGAGUGGCGGACGGGUGAGUAAUGCUUGGGAACUUGCCUUUGCGAGGGGGAUAACAGUUGGAAACGACUGCUAAUACCGCAUAAUGUCUACGGACCAAACGGGGCUUAGGCUUCGGCGCAGAGAGAGGCCCAAGUGAGAUUAGCUAGUUGGUGGGGUAAAGGCUCACCAAGGCAACGAUCUCUAGCUGUUCUGAGAGGAAGAUCAGCCACACUGGRACUGAGACACGGYCCAGACUCCUACGGGAGGCAGCAGUGGGGAAUAUUGCACAAUGGGGGAAACCCUGAUGCAGCCAUGCCGCGUGUGUGAAGAAGGCCUUCGGGUUGUAAAGCACUUUCAGUUGUGAGGAAAAGUGAGUAGUUAAUACCUGCUCACCGUGACGUUAACAACAGAAGAAGCACCGGCUAACUCCGUGCCAGCAGCCGCGGUAAUACGGAGGGUGCGAGCGUUAAUCGGAAUUACUGGGCGUAAAGCGCACGCAGGCGGUUUGUUAAGCUAGAUGUGAAAGCCCCGAGCUCAACUUGGGAUGGUCAUUUAGAACUGGCAGACUAGAGUCUUGGAGAGGGGAGUGGAAUUCCAGGUGUAGCGGUGAAAUGCGUAGAUAUCUGGAGGAACAUCAGUGGCGAAGGCGACUCCCUGGCCAAAGACUGACGCUCAUGUGCGAAAGUGUGGGUAGCGAACAGGAUUAGAUACCCUGGUAGUCCACACCGUAAACGCUGUCUACUAGCUGUUUGUGRCUUUAAGUCGUGAGUAGCGAAGCUAACGCGAUAAGUAGACCGCCUGGGGAGUACGGCCGCAAGGUUAAAACUCAAAUGAAUUGACGGGGGCCCGCACAAGCGGUGGAGCAUGUGGUUUAAUUCGAUGCAACGCGAAGAACCUUACCUACACUUGACAUGCAGAGAACUUUCUAGAGAUAGAUUGGUGCCUUCGGGAACUCUGACACAGGUGCUGCAUGGCUGUCGUCAGCUCGUGUCGUGAGAUGUUGGGUUAAGUCCCGCAACGAGCGCAACCCUUGUCCUUAGUUGCCAGCAUUUAGUUGGGCACUCUAAGGAGACUGCCGGUGACAACCGGAGGAAGGUGGGGACGACGUCAGUCAUCAUGGCCCUUA